GUUAAGGUAGCUCAGUCGGCAGAGCAUGAGACUCAGGCUCGGGAAUGUGGUUUCAAGCUCCACGUUGGGCA